AACGUAGGGGACAAGCGUUAUCCGGAUUCACUGGGUUUAAAGGGUGCGUAGGUGGGUAGGUAAGUCAGUGGUGAAAUCUCCAAGCUUAACUUGGAAACUGCCGUUGAUACUAUUUAUCUUGAAUAUAGUGGAGGUGAGCGGAAUAUGUCAUGUAGCGGUGAAAUGCUUAGAUAUGACAUAGAACACCAAUUGCGAAGGCAGCUUGCUACACUACUAUUGACACUGAGGCACGAAAGCGUGGGGAUCAAACAGG
rnacentral:rRNA from 1 species